AGGCAUAUUUUAGAACAACUGAAAGAACAGGCUAGUUGACCCAUCGCCAAACGAUCUGAGAUCUGCAGGUUUAACCAGUGCCCUACACAAUGGGCAUGUCCGUUCUCUCUCAAACCUGGAAAGAUGACAAUAAAUCUUACUUAGCUGCAAACAUAGAUUU